UACCAGCACCCCGAGUGGUCGGGACGUUUAUUGGGCCUAAAGCAUCCGUAGCCGGUUCUACAAGUCUUCCGUUAAAUCCAGCUGCUCAACAGAUGGGCUGCGGGGGAUACUACAUGGCUAGGAGGCGGGAGAGGCAAGCGGUACUUUAUGGGUAGGGGUAAAAUCCGUUGAUCCAUAGAAGACCACCAGUGGCGAAGGCGGCUUGCCCAG
rnacentral:rRNA from 1 species